GGAACGAAUUUAGAGGAUAGGAUGAUGUAGCUUUGCAUGUUGUGCGAAAGUCAUCUGAAAUUUAAAUCAACAUAACUAAGCAUGUAGACGCCUUUAUUCUCUUGGUUUUGGACUGGAGUUCGAUCCUCCACAGCUCCACCA
rnacentral:tmRNA from 1 species